rnacentral:rRNA from 1 species
GGAUAGCUCGGGGAGACUCGAAUUAAUACCGCAUGUGAUCCUGUGUAGCAUUGCACAGAGAUUAAAGGUGCCUUCGGGUGCCACUUCUGGAUGGGCUCGCGGCCUAUCAGUUAGUUGGUGAGGUAACGGCUCACCAAGGCAAUGACGGGUAACUGGUCUGAGAGGAUGAUCAGUCACACUGGAACUGAGACACGGUCCAGACACCUACGGGUGGCAGCAGUCGAGAAUCAUUCGCAAUGGGGGAAACCCUGACGGUGCGACGCCGCGUGGAGGAUGACGGUCUUCGGAUUGUAAACUCCUGUCAUCGAAGAGUAAGGCUGUUAUGUGAAUAGCAUAGCAGAUUGAUAGUAUUCGAAGAGGAAGGGACGGCUAACUUCGUGCCGGCAGCCGCGGUAAUACGAAGGUCCCAAGCGUUGUUCGGAAUCACUGGGCGUAAAGGGAGCGUAGGCGGCGAGGUAAGUCAGAUGUGAAAUUCCGGGGCUCAACCUCGGAACUGCAUCCGAUACUGCCUUGCUAGAGUAGUGGAGGGGCAUCUGGAAUUCACGGUGUAGCAGUGAAAUGCGUAGAGAUCGUGAGGAACACUAGUGGCGAAGGCGAGAUGCUGGACACUUACUGACGCUGAGGCUNGAAGGCCAGGGUAGCGAAAGGGAUUAGAUACCCCUGUAGUCCUGGCAGUAAACGGUGCACGUUUGGUGUGAGCAGGUUCGACCCUGUUCGUGCCGGAGUUAACGCGUUAAACGUGCCGCCUGGGGAGUACGGCCGCAAGGCUAAAACUCAAA